CUCUCUUAGAAUUAAAAAUGUCGAGCAAAGCGAGACCAGCUUCCUAGUAAAUAAAUAACAUUUAAAAAAAUAGAGGCAGCUCACUGGUAAGUGCUGCUAUUUGAGCUAUUUUUAGAACAGGCCAGCGGGCGACUCAUCUGGUUCUUACGGGCUACCUGGUGUUAGUGACCCCUGUAUUACACUAUGUGUGUGCUUUUUUAAGACCUACUCUAAGCCUUAAUGUUAUUUAUUUGUAAAAGUCAGGCAAUUCCAACGAACUUCCGGUUUUCAUUUGUUUUGCAGCGGAAAUUCCUUAUAUGGGCAAUCUCUUAUUAGCACCUGUGCCUCGUUAGUUUCGCCCGGAAAGUGAUGCCGAAAGCGGGCCUAAAAAGAGUCCUCUCCCCCGGGGACUGACCUGUGGUGGUGAGCACGGUGCUGGUGAAGAACAAGGAGGACAUGAAGUCCCAGUUCCGCUGGCUGCUUCCUCCCAGGACGGACACGCCGUAGUUGUUGGCCUCCAAGGCCCGCGCCAGCAGCGCCUGGAGGUCGUCCUCCGACACGCAGGUGUUGUUGCGGAUGAAGUCCCGCUGGGAGGCCUCCAGCUCGGCCCGCAGCUCCACCUCGUAGGGCAGCUCGAUGGCGGAGAAGACCCCGGCACCGACGAGCAGAUCUCCUUCUGUCGUCUGACUGCCUCCCUCGUUCCUCGACUCCUCGCUCGCCCCUGACCCUGCCUGCCCCAUGGACUGCCUCGUUCCUUCGCUCUCGUCAACACUUGCUGUCCUUGCGUGCGUCAUUACGUCACGUGACCGUGUGCGUCAUCACGUCAUGCUGUCACGUGAUCUAGCGCGGGAAGUGUAAAACCCAGUAGUGGGCUACUUCCAGAAAGAGCGAGAAGGAGGUGCCAGGUUGCUGCAGGAGACGACUACUGGAGCCGUGGGUCGUCAAGCGAGUGUUUAAGUGGAAUUGGGGUCACGGGGGGCGCUGGCGCCUAUCUCAGCUACAAUCGGGCGGAAGGCGGGGUACACCCUGGACAAGUCGCCACCUCAUCGCAGGGCCAACACAGAUAGACAAAAAACAUUCACACUCACAUUCACACACUAGGGCCAAUUUAGUGUUGCCAAUCAACCUAUCCCCAGGUGCAUGUCUUUGGAAGUGGGAGGAAGCCGGAGUACCCGGAGGGAACCCACGCAUUCACGGGGAGAACAUGCAAACUCCACACGGGAAGAUCCCGAGCCUGGAUUUGAACCCAGGACUGCAGGAACUUCGUAUUGUGAGGCAGACGCACUAACCCCUCUGCCACCGUGAAGCCCACUUGAAAACUCAACUCAGAAUUAUCCUAGUAAAUUUGUCUAAUAACAUCUGAAUCGCUCCCACUGUAUAAUCUUUUUUUUCCCUUUUUUUUUUUUCUUUUCUAGUUCUUCACUCUCACUUUCCUCAUCCACGAAUCUUUCACCCUCGCUCAAAUUAAUGGGGAAAUCGUCGCUUUAUUUCCAUUAAAUUCCCAUUCAACUGAAUGGACGUGUUUAUAGUUCAACAAUACCUUUGUCAGGCUUGUCCCUCCAUAUAGUCAUUACAAUUCAAUAGGGGGGUAGCGGUACACAAAAUUUCGGUUCGAUACGAACUUCGGUUUAGAGGUCACGGUUCGGUUCAUUUUCGGUACAGUAAGAAAUCAACAAAAUAUAAAUUUUUUGCUUAUUUAUUUGCCAAAUUUGUAAACAAUGGCUUUAUCCUUUUAACAUUGGGAACACUAUAAUAAUUCUGCCCACGUUAAUCCACAUUAAAUUGCCUCAAGUUGUUGCUUUGAUUAAAUAAAAUGAAAAAAACUUUCUUCUACAUAUAAAAAGUUUAACAAUAAACAGUUUCCAUUGAAACUGUUUGUCAACUCAUCAUGCUCAACUUAUUACAGCAUUUGGGAAGCCUGUAGUUGACUUGUAUUAUGUAAAUGUUGUAUUUUUGUCAACAUGUGAUAGCAGGGACCCUGCUAUUCAAAAUUAGGCUGCUACAUUACUAAUGAUUCAUUUAACUAUAGCUGAAAAAAUAGUACAAUUGCAAUAGUAGAGACUAUUCAUCCCUAAAAACAAUGGAGUUCAAUGAAAUAACAGACAGACAUGGCUUUGCUGCCCCUAAAACACGCAUGCACACACACACACAAAAAUGAGCUAACGUUAUGCUAAAAGCUAAUUAGCCUUCAUCUCAAGCCUAUACUGUGAGCGAGCUGAGCUGCAGUUUACGUUUCUAGAAGGUCAAUGGGCUCAAAGUGAUGUUUGUAAUAGUUGUGACUGGGAAGUGUUUAGUAUAAUUUGGGUAGAGUCCGGUCCUCCCCUACUAGACGAAUAUCUGCUCGACGCUAAAGCAUUGACUACAUCGUUCUGACGUCUGAAUACGCACUGCUGAUUGGCUGUUACAUCGCUCUGAAUACGCACUGCUGAUUGGCUUUGUAUGUAACCAAUCAGAUGGUUCCAGUACUCUGGAAUGCCCUCCCGGUAACAGUUCGAGAUGCCACCUCAGUAGAAGCAUUUAAGUCUCACCUUAAAACUCAUUUGUAUACUCUAGCCUUUAAAUAGACUCCCUUUUUAGACCAGUUGAUCUGCCGUUUCUUUUCUUUUUCUUCUAUGUCCCACUCUCCCUUGUGGAGGGGGUCCGGUCCGAUCCGGUGGCCAUGUACUGCUUGCCUGUGUAUCGGCUGGGGACAUCUCUGCGCUGCUGAUCCGCCUCCGCUUGGGAUGGUUUCCUGUGAACGGGACUCUCGCUGCUGUGUUGGAUCCGCUUUGGACUGGACUCUCGCGACUGUGUUGGAUCCAUUGUGGACUGAACUUUCACAGUAUCAUGUUAGACCCGCUCGACAUCCAUUGCUUUCCUCCUCUCCAAGGUUCUCAUAGUCAUCAUUGUCACCGACGUCCCACUGGGUGUGAGUUUUCCUUGCCCUUAUGUGGGCCUACCGAGGAUGUCGUGGUGGUUUGUGCAGCCCUUUGAGACACUAGUGAUUUAGGGCUAUAUAAGUAAACAUUGAUUGAUUGUGUGGGCAGGACAAUGAGGCAGACACAGAGGCAGAAAGCAGAGCAGCUUGUGAAGACUUCUGCUUCCGAACUUGUUCGGUACGCCCGCGUGCCGAACCGAAACUCCCGUACCGAAACGGUUCAAUACAAAUACACGUACCGUUACACCCCUACAAUUCAACAGCUUCCUACCGUCUCCGUCGAUGUCAAUACUGCAGGCGUCCCCCUCGCCGUCGCCAUCGGUAUCCGUCUGCAGCGAGUUGCUAUCAAAGGGACAGUUGUCACAGCGGUCCCCGAUGCUAUCCCGGUCGGUAUCGAACUGUCGAGGGUUGUACACCAGCGGGCAGUUGUCCUGCAAAACACACAUAAGCGUGUAGUAUUUUAGGAAUCCAAAUGGAAGUGGUUAAUAACACACUUGUUCAUCAACGAUGUCAUCAUUAUCGUCGUCGGGAUCACAGGCGUCGCCUCGCCCGUCCUUGUCCAGGUCCUCCUGUCCUGAGUUUGGCACCGCGGGACAGUUAUCCUGCAACCAAUCACGGCAGUCUGUGGUUGGGCCAGCCGUCCAGAUCGCCGUCCUCACCGCAGAGAAAACCGUCGCCCGCAAAGCCGACCGCGCACACACACUUGUACAGGACCUCCGACGCCAAGCCCAGGUACGUACAGCCUGCGUGCUUGUGGCAG